UAUAACCUCCUUGGCUGUUAUAUUUUCUAAAAAUAGGACAAUAAUAUUGUGUCCCAUUAGUUAGUUUUUUCUUUUACCAUUUUAAUUUCAAAAAUAUGCGAAUAAAAAAGCCUAGGGGCUUAACCACGUUCCAGAUCUCGUUGGUGACAUUCUUAGGAAUCUGCUCGGGAUUUUACAUCUGGAAGCCGUACUUGAGCUCUCUGAAAAAUGAAAAAGACGUCAAGGAAGAAACUUGAAUGAACUCCAGUCAUAACUUGUUUAGCAUUUGUGUUUUGUAAUAUCGAUAAAAAUAAAUAGUACUGGCAACUGUUUUCGACAGAAAUCUUACAGACUCUAUAUAAUAAAGUGUUGUAUCUACACUGAUGGACAAAUUAAUGUACCACUAAAUUUAUUUAGUUAAAAACUAAAUCCAUUUCAAUUAACACGGUUAAGUAUGACAUACAUUAGAUUAUUAGAUACAGAUAAUUAGGUAGUCAAAAUAAACAGUAAGUAAUGCUUUGUUUA